CAACAGGCCCCUUCUGCUCCUUAAGUUUUCUUCACAUCAUUGAUGGUCCCAAAUUUAAAUCACGGAAAUUGGACUUUGACCUCACUUCAAUAAAAUGUGUCUGCCGAGGUCACUGUGGACCUAGGGGAUCAGGAGUGCCCUGGGGACAAUGACCAUAGUCAGUUUGUUUUCACACUGCUUUGCAGGAAGUGUUUCAUUCCACUCAAGGAACUUGGACAUAUCGAGGGGCACAAAAUGUACUCAUUCCUAUCCCAAUAAAUGAUACUUUUACUUCAAAUGCACUCUGUAUUCCACUAGUAUACUCAUUAUAUAGACAUCGGGUUAUACCUACCUACUGCACAGUAACGCCCUGUGUAUUCAGAAUACUUGGUAGAGAUUUCCAUAUUUUUAAAAUGCCUAUCUCUCCAAGAAAUCACAUUUCCUUAAAAAAAAAAGAAUAGCCAGAAAUUUCUAAAACAACACGAAUAUAGGCUAUUAAGAAAACUUCCAGCAAGGAUGACUGGUUCCCUCUUUACCCAUACUCUGAGCUACAGUUUCCAUAGCAGAAAUAAAGCAACUGGAAAAUGGGGUUAAGAACUUGUCUCUGGCCCUAGAAGAGUCACCAAUGGCACCACUGCUUUACAAGCCUGAUAAACCAUCUAAAUCCACAAAUCAGAGCUGUCACGGGAAACCCCACAGUCCUCGAUUUCCUCUUAGCUGACCGAGGAAACAUGUUAACUAUCACAGAACUUUCUUCUUAAACCUCUGCAAAUACUACAGAGAAAAUAAGGACCUGUGACCAGGAUCAAAAGGGGUGGGGUGCAGUGGGGAGGGGCUCCCUAAUCCUCCAGAGCAGACCCAACUGGAUCCUGGGACUGAGAGUCAUGGCCUGAUCCAGGACCGAGGUUCUUGGCUUCAAGACCUAUUACAAGAGCAGCCAUGGUUUUCCUUCCGACAGCGCCUGUGUUAUAUUUAGCAGGUGGUCCUGUCUUAAUGCUGCAUGGCCACUGUCAGGACAGAUGGUUCCCUGGCUCCUCCUGACAGAAAGAGAGGACAGAUGCACCCUGACUCAACUGCACGCAUCUUCACCUUAACGCACAAAAUCCCAGCGAUGGGGAAAUUUAUAAGAGGUGAAGUUCUGUGGCCUGCCUUCAUCUGACCUUGACUUCAAGGGGGCCUGAGAAAGAAAAUGCCAGACAGGUGCUUCCUAAGACCCUGUAUUGACACACCAGAGGUUCCCCAGUAUAACUUCUUCACAGCUGCCAUGAGCACGAGCACCGCCCAUUUAACCCACGGGGCGUCCCCACAGGGCAUCUGGACAGACCCAGUCCCAGCCGGGGCCUGAGCCCGAACACGCGCAUGGCGGGGUCUCUCUCCGCUGCCCACGGACUGGACAGAAGUGGCGUCCAUGUCUGUUCUCGUCUUACGUGUACCGAAAUGGAAGCAGCUGUCACGGUUACAGCGGAACGUGAUUCUCCUCAUGCUGGCGUUUCUGGGGCUCGGGGGGCUCCUGUCCUACAUCAGCGUGGCGGACCAGUGGAAAGCCCCGAACGUCAGGUCAGCGGAAGAGCAGAAGAUGAGGCCAGCAAACCCACCUGUCCUGCCAGCUCCCCAGAAGGCAGAGGCUAACGCAGAGAAAGUCCCGGGGGCGCUGCCUCAGGUCUGGUGUGCUCCCCUCACUCGUUAUUCUGGGCUGCGUGGACGAUGCGUGGGGGAGGAGGGAGGGAUAGUCUUCCCUUCGUUCUUCAUCGCGCACCUGCUGCUGAGGUGGUGAAGAAGGAAACAGGCCCGUGGCUUCUCUGGCGGGGCUGCAGGCUGGCGGGAGGGCGAGGCAGGUGAGACGCCAGGAAUAAACAGUAACAGUGGCCCACGUGGCGUCCUACAAGGAGAAGAGCAGACGCCCUGAGAGAGAAGGCUGGGGCUGGGCCCCUCGGUCAGGGCAGGACACUGAGCUGCAGUCUGAGGAGGGAGCUGGGAUCCCACAAGGGCCUGGACGGGGACGGGGCCAGGGGUCGGUGCAGGCCGGGCCCCGUGAGUCCUCCUGGGGCGCAGGCAGCACUGGAGGUUCAGUCGGCCUCGUGGGAGAUGACAGCUGGGGCAGGAUGUCAGCUUGUCCCUGUGAAGGCUCUCUGGGCGCCGGGUGGAGACGGCGGCACAGUCAGGAGUGGACGGCAGGAGGCAGCAGAGCCCAGCUGCCUGGACUGGGAGAGCCUGCGCCUGGAGCCAGCCUGGGCAGGACUGGGCCUGUGAGGGUAGGGAGGGUUCCCCGGGGGAGGGGCCGUGGAGGCCGAGAGGGAGCGGGCUGGGAACGCUCGGGCGCUCCCUUCUGGACCUGCCCCAGCCGUGUGAGGUGCCUGGGACCUCAGGAGAUGUGGGUGGUGGUGUCAGGAUCAGAGUCAGCGGUGGGAGCCCACAGGGACCUGGUGGAGGAGGAGCCAGGCCUAGUCCUGGGGCGCCCCACCCUUACAGUGGGGGUGGGGGCAGGCGAGGGGCCAUGGAGACUAGAGGGCAGUCAGGAGGCCAGCAGGGGACCAGGAAGCGUCCCUUCUAGAGAGAGGUGGUCCCGGGAGAUGGCCUCCGAGAACCGGGGUGCUGUGCACCUGGGGACUCCCUCCGUCCCUCCUCAGGUGUGGAUGUGGGCGCCGCUGCUAGAGAGGAUGCUGGGCCAGUGCUGGCCUCACGUCCUGCAGGGCUGCCCCGGGGGAGACGGGAGGCCGCCUUCCCGCUGCCUCUUCAAGGGUCUGUGUGCAGAGAAUGAAUUUCCUCGCAUAAAGCUGACCAGUGUUCCCUUGGCUUCUUUCGGCCGCUGUCUGACACACGGACUCAUAACCACGGGAAACCAGAAUACAGCACGCUGCCCUAGAAAGUCGCGGGCCCAUGGUCGUGACACCCACGGUCCCAUCUGUGGCGUCCAGGGAGGGCCUCCAUGGUCAGGGGUGAAUGUCCCCAUGCCUCUGGUGCAAGAAUCAGGGGUGAGGCCCUUUCGGAGGUCCCUUGGACACCUCUCCCGCUCAGCGCCGUCCCCAAGACCUGUUUCAGCGACGGUGUCUGUUUUGGCCGGACCCGAGUCUCUUGACCAAGGGGCCCAGUUCUUGGUCGUCCGCAUCUGUCCGACGAGAAUGGCCUCACGGCUUACAUGGACAUUGAAAAGCAGAGACUGCCCCUCAUGGUUUGGCCACCUUCCUGUGCUCGGUGGUGUCCCUGGUCACACCCACCAUGUGGGACUGGCGGUGAGGACGAGCGCUGCGUCCACAUAAUCACCGAGUCCAGCGCUUUUGCCCCACGUGCUGAGGAUGAGCGGGGCAGCCGGGGCCAGGCCUGCAGCCGUGUUCUCAGGGCUGUGUUCUCGGGACAUGGCUCUAGCCCUUUCGUGCCUCCGCCAGGCCCCCUGACAGACAACCUCGCCACCAGGAUGUGAGUAUGAAGCACUCAGCGUUUUCCCUUUGCUGCAGGGAUUUGGUGGGGGUGGGGGUUCCAGUUUGUUUGCCCGUUUCUGGGCCUGUGCUGAGCUGAGGACACUGCUAGGCUCCCCGCCGACAGCAGGGGACCCGUUCCCAGUCAAUGAUUCCAGCUCACUACUGCAGCCUGAGCGUCAGGCCACGUGAAGCCAGCAAGCUCGCGUCUGUCCUCGUACAGAGUGAGUCACAAUAGCCAGAAGGAGAAACUACCCUAAUGUCCCCCGAUGGGUGAAUGCAUGAGAAAAACAUGGUGCCUAUAUGCAAUGGGGCAUUAUGCCGUCAGAUACCUGCCAGGAUGUGGAUGGGCCUGAAGACAUUGUGCCAAGUGAACCGAGCUGUCACAACGGAGUCACAUACAUGAGGUCCCCGUGGGCGAACUCAUCAAGAUGGAACGUGGACCAGUGCCAGGUCCUUGAGCCCUCAGCCUGCGUCAUGUGUCCCCAUGGCAACCGUCUCCGUGGUGACACAAUG